UCAAGAAUUGACGGGGNCGCACAACGGUGGAGCAUGGGGUUUAUUGACGCAACGCGAGACCUUACCUAGCUUGACAUGCUGGAGAAAGCUUGCGAAACGUGAGCCCCUCUUCGGAGUUCCAGCACAGAUGCUGCAUGGCUGUCGUCAGCUCGUGUCGUGAGAUGUUGGGUUAAGUCCCGCAACGAGCGCAACCCUCACCCUUAGUUACCAGCGGGUAAAGCCGGGGACUCUAGGGGGACUGCCGGUGCCAAACCGGAGGAAGGUGGGGAUGACGUCAAGUCAUCAUGGCUCUUACGUCUAGGGCUACACACGUGCUACAAUGGACCGGACAAAGGGCUGCCAACUCGCGAGAGUGCGCCAAUCCCCAAACCGGUCCUCAGUUCGGAUUGUAGUCUGCAACUCGACUACAUGAAGCUGGAAUCGCUAGUAAUCGUGGAUCAGCUACGCCACGGUGAAUACGUUCCCGGGCCUUGUACACACCGCCCGUCACGCCAUGGAAGUUGUGAGCGCCCGAAGUCGGUGUCGGAACCCGCAAGGGACCAAGCCGCCUAAGGCGAGCGCAAUGACUGGGGCGAAGUCGUAACAAGGU
rnacentral:rRNA from 1 species